rnacentral:rRNA from 1 species
UACGUAGGGGGCUAGCGUUGUCCGGAAUCAUUGGGCGUAAAGCGCGUGUAGGCGGUCCGGUAAGUCCGCUGUGAAAGUCGGGGGCUCAACCCUCGAAUGCCGGUGGAUACUGUCGGGCUAGAGUGCGGAAGAGGCGAGUGGAAUUCCUGGUGUAGCGGUGAAAUGCGCAGAUAUCAGGAGGAACACCAAUUGCGAAGGCAGCUCGCUGGGACGUAACUGACGCUGAGACGCGAAAGCGUGGGGAGGCAAACAGG